rnacentral:tRNA from 5 species
GGUCCCAUCGUCUAGUGGUCUAGGACGACAGGUUCUCAACCUGUAAAUCAUGGGUUCGAAUCCCAUUGGGAUCA